rnacentral:rRNA from 1 species
CCUACGGGUGGCAGCAGUGAGGAAUAUUGGUCAAUGGUCGCGAGACUGAACCAGCCAAGUAGCGUGCAGGAUGACGGCCCUACGGGUUGUAAACUUCUUUUAUGCUGGAAUAAAGUGCGGCACGUGUGCCUUUUUGUAUGUACUUCAUGAAUAAGGACCGGCUAAUUCCGUGCCAGCAGCCGCGGUAAUACGGAGGAUCCGAGCGUUAUCCGGAUUUAUUGGGUUUAAAGGGAGCGUAGGUGGGUUGUUAAGUCAGUUGUGAAAGUUUGCGGCUCAACCGUAAAAUUGCAAUUGAUACUGGCAGUCUUGAGUACAGUAGAGGUAGGCGGAAUUCGUGGUGUAGCGGUGAAAUGCUUAGAUAUCACGAAGAACUCCGAUUGCGAAGGCAGCCUGCUGGACUGUAACUGACGCUGAUGCUCGAAAGUGUGGGUAUCAAACAGGAUUAGAUACCCGAGUAGUC